AAGACUAUAGACCUGCGGAGUACCUGCGGAAGGAUCAUUAACCUUUCAAAAAACAGGGUGCGUCGCGGCCCCCCUCCGGGGGCGGUUUGGGGUCCUCCCCUUCACGCGCGCACGACUGCAUCCUUACUUUACGAGCACCUUCUGUUCUCCCUCGGCGGGGCAACCUGCCGUUGGAACCGAAUAAACCCUUUUUUGCAUCCAGCAUUACCCGUUCCGAAACAAACAAUCGUUACAACUUUU
rnacentral:misc_RNA from 1 species